rnacentral:sRNA from 1 species
GUCACGCCCGAAGUCNUUACCUCAACCGCAAGGAGGGGGAUGCCUAAGGCAGGGCUAGUGACUGGGGUGAAGUCGUAACAAGGUAGCCGUACCGGAAGGUGUGGCUGGAUCACCUCCUUAAAGGGAGACCUAAUUCCGGUAGGAGACGAAAAAAAAGUAGUCGCUACCAAGAAUCAAUCCCAAAAGGUCGGAGCGAGGCAAAAUUGGCUUUCAAACUAGGUUCUGGGUUCACACAAGACCUGAAUCAGGAACAAGGGCUAUUAGCUCAGGUGGUUAGAGCGCACCCCUGAUAAGGGUGAGGUCCCUGGUUCGAGUCCAGGAUGGCCCACCUGUACAGGUGGCAAAAACAAGAGAAGCGAGGAAUCAGCACCUUAUCUUACUGACAUAGUAAGAGAGAAUGCUGGCUCUGAGUAAAGAGUCCAGAGGAACCUUGAAAACUGCAUAGAGCUAGGUGAAAAAGCCAAAAAAGAAGACCGCAAGGUCAAGCUAAUAAGGGCUAACGGUGGAUACCUAGGCACACAGAGG